CCGACCUUAGCUCAGUUGGAAGAGCGCAAGACUGUAAUGGAUAAUCUUGAUGUCGCCUGUUCGAACCAGGCAGGUCGGA